rnacentral:rRNA from 1 species
UCCAGCCAUGCCGCGUGAGUGAAGAAGGCCUUCGGGUUGUAAAACUCUUUUUCCAGGGAAGAAAACUUACUUUCUA